GGGUCCAGGCUCGGACUCAAUUCCAUCUGGAAUCCUGACCGGGUACGUCUAGGGCCUGGGCCUGACUUCGAAACCGCAUUAAGCCUGAGGUUCUGACCACCAGGAUGAGACCUGCUGGGACAUCCCACUCACUCCAAAGUCUGCAGGCAGGAUGCUUGGAAGACUGGCAGAAGCUAGCAGAAGAGUAAGGAUUCUUAACCAGUCAGCUCUCCCAGAUCUAUCUGUGGUGCCUGAUCAAGAAAGGAAGAAAAAAAGCUCCGAUAGUAGACUAAUUCAGAAUGGGUCGCCUGAAAACAUUUUUAAACUCCAGUUGGUGAGAAGUGGCCUUUCCUGAUGAUCAUCUGAAUGUCAUGAUACUGAGCUACAGAUGCCAUGAUUCUUCCUGAGCAAGACCAUUAAACACAGCACUGGUGACCUCUCGUGCAGCAUUGUGUGUAA